UACGGAGGGAGCGAGCGUUUUUCGGAAUCACUGGGCGUAAAGCGCGUGUAGGCGGUUUGGCAAGUCUGGUGUGAAAGCCCGGGGCUCACCCCCGUAAGGGCACUAGAAACUACCAGGCUAGAGUACCGGAGAGGAGGGUGGAAUUCCCGGUGUCGCGGUGAAAUCCGUAGAUUUCGGGAGGAACACCGGUGGCGAAGGCGGCCCUCUGGACGGCUACUGACGCUGAGACGCGAAAGCGUGGGGAGCAAACAGG
rnacentral:rRNA from 1 species